GCCAGAGUGGCGUAGUGGUUUGAGUGUCGGACUAUGACCCUGGAGACCAGGGUUUGAUUCCUUGCUAUAAAA
rnacentral:tRNA from 1 species